AUUGAACGCUGGCGGCAGGCCUAACACAUGCAAGUCGAGCGGAUGAAGGGAGCUUGCUCCUGGAUUCAGCGGCGGACGGGUGAGUAAUGCCUAGGAAUCUGCCUGGUAGUGGGGGAUAACGUCCGGAAACGGGCGCUAAUACCGCAUACGUCCUGAGGGAGAAAGUGGGGGAUCUUCGGACCUCACGCUGUCAGAUGAGCCUAGGUCGGAUUAGCUAGUUGGUGGGGUAAAGGCCUAUCAAGGCGACGAUCCGUAACUGGUCUGAGAGGAUGAUCAGUCACACUGGAACUGAGACACGGUCCAGACUCCUACGGGAGGCAGCAGUGGGGAAUAUUGGACAAUGGGCGAAAGCCUGAUCCAGCCAUGCCGCGUGUGUGAAGAAGGUCUUCGGAUUGUAAAGCACUUUAAGUUGGGAGGAAGGGCAGUAAGUUAAUACCUUGCUGUUUUGACGUUACCAACAGAAUAAGCACCGGCUAACUUCGUG
rnacentral:rRNA from 1 species